CGCGAAUUCGCCCUUCGGGGUGCCCAGGCGCGAAAACUUUACAAUGCCGGCAACGGCGAUUAGGGAACCUCGAGUGCCAGGUUACAAAUCUGGCUGUCGUGAUGCCUAAAAAGCAUUGCAUAGCAAGGGCCGGGCAAGACCGGUGCCAGCCGCCGCGGUAACACCGGCGGCUCGAGUGGUAACCGUUAUUAUUGGGUCUAAAGGGUCUGUAGCCGGCCGGAUAAGUCUCUUGGGAAAUCUGGCAGCUUAACUGUCAGGCUUUCAGGAGAUACUGCCUGGCUCGAGGCCGGGAGAGGUGAGAGGUACUUCAGGGGUAGGGGUGAAAUCUUGUAAUCCUUGAAGGACCACCAGUGGCGAAGGCGUCUCACCAGAACGGACCUGACGGCAAGGGACGAAAGCUAGGGGCACGAACCGGAUUAGAUACCCGGGUAGUCCUAGCCGUAAACGAUACUCGCUAGGUGUCGGCCACGGUGCGACCGUGGUCGGUGCCGUAGGGAAGCCGUGAAGCGAGCCACCUGGGAAGUACGGCCGCAAGGCUGAAACUUAAAGGAAUUGGCGGGGGAGCAC
rnacentral:rRNA from 1 species